rnacentral:rRNA from 1 species
AUACGGGGGGGGCAAGCGUUGUUCGGAAUUACUGGGCGUAAAGGGUCCGUAGGCGGCCAACUAAGUCAGACGUGAAAUCCCCCGGCUUAACCGGGGAACUGCGUCUGAUACUGGUUGGCUUGAGUGCAGGAGAGGAACGCGGAAUUCCAGGUGUAGCGGUGAAAUGCGUAGAUAUCUGGAGGAACACCGGUGGCGAAGGCGGCGUUCUGGACUGUAACUGACGCUGAGGGACGAAAGCCAGGGGAGCAAACGGGAUUAGAUACCCCGGUAGUCCUGGCCCUAAACGAUGAAUGCUUGGUGUGGCGGGUAUCGAUCCCUGCCGUGCCGUAGUUAACGCGUUAAGCAUUCCGCCUGGGGAGUACGGUCGCAAGGCUGAA